CAGCGAGCGGCAGGGUUACCAGGGGAACCGAGCCGCCGCGUCUCAACGGGUCCCAGACGCUUAGAGGCCCUGUGAUGCGUGAUACUGGGAUGGGCUGGGGAUGCAGGGAUUUAACAGCUGUGGAGUUCCCCAGAGCCCCUUUAGCUCUGCAUUAGAGCAUCAUCAUCAUGUCGAGCUGCCUCUUCCUCCUGAAGGCACUUCUUGCUCUUGGGUCCGUGGCAUCCUGGGUGACUGCAGGAGAGCAUGUUCUUGACUUUGUCUUCAUACUGGGUGCCUCCUGGUUACAAGAAGGCUGCUCUGAUUCCUUGUCUGUCUUUGGACUGGAAGAAGAAGGAAAUGAGAGGGCAGUUUGACAGCUGUAUUCCCUGAACCAACAAUGCAAAAGUUUUCCCAGCUUAUAUCUUAGUUUGUGGUCACCCCUAGUUACAAGGGAAUAUGGGGGAAGCAAAUCAUUUUAGCUGACUGGGCUCACUGCCUCUCAGAACAAGCCUGGGAUUCUAUUCACAAGUGCUUCAGUUAUUUAUUGCCACCUAACAAACCAUCCCCAAACUUAGCGACAUAACGCAGCGCAUUCUUUCUUUUUAUUUUUUCCCCAAAGCCCCAAUCCUGAAGUCAUCAACAUUAACACAGUGCAUUCUUUCUCACAGUUGUGUGGCUUUGUGGGUUGGCUGGGCUUAACCGGGCAGUUCUUAUACCCAGUGGCACAGCUGAGGUCCUUCAUACAGCUGGGAGCUCCUUGGCAAGUUCCACGGUGGCUGGAAUGUCCAGGAUGGCCUCUCCUCCUCCAGGUUCUCUCUCCGGAGGCGUCUCACUAUCCCGCAGCCUAGCCCAAGUGCUUUGCAGCACGGUGGCUGGUUUCCAAGAGGGAGUGUUCAAGCCCCAGUACGCAAGUGUUGCUCAAGCCUCUGCUUGCAUCAUACUUGGCUGGUGUCCUGUUGGUCAAAGCAAGUCAUCCAGUCGAGCCCAGAGACAGUAUGGGAGGGGGCUACCCAAGAGCACGUACUCCAGCAGCCAGCAGUGCUGAUGUCGACCACAAGUUUGGCGGUGAAUGUCCUGCCGACCCCCUUCCGUGUGAAGAGCUGUGUGAUGGGGACGCAUCCUGUCCUCAGGGACAUAAGUGCUGCAGCACCGGCUGUGGCCGUGCCUGCCAUGGAGGCAUUAAGGGAGGGCGGGGUGGUGACUGUCCAAAACUUUUGGCGGGCCUGUGCAUUGUCAGCUGCAUGGUGGAUGAGAACUGCCCAGCUGGGGAAAAGUGCUGCAAGUCAGGCUGUGGCCGUUUCUGUGUCCCACCAAUCCUGCCAGCCCAGCUGGCCCUGAACCCCAACCGGACCAUCAGGUCUAAUUUUGAAUUAGAGAGCCCGGUGCCCUAGCUGUCCUGAUGUGUCCUGAGUUUCUCUGGUGACUCCAGGGGGCUUGUCCUGGUAGCCAGGAGAGGAUGAUGUCCUGGGGCUUGUGACACCCCCAGGGACUGUCAUUGCCCUCUCUGCUCUGUUUCUGUUCUUGCUGCUGCCCUGAGCGUAGGAAACCCAGCCCUGGGCUUGGGCAGUGGGUGUGUGGUGCUUCUUUUCCCCAAUAAAGGCUGAUGCUGA